GAUGAACGCUAGCGGCAGGCCUAACACAUGCAAGUCGAGGGGUAGCAGGAUUAAGCUUGCUUAAUUGCUGACGACCGGCGCACGGGUGCGUAACGCGUAUGCAACCUACCUUAUACUGGGGUAUAGCCCGGAGAAAUUCGGAUUAAUCCCCCAUAGUACUAAUGAAUCGCAUGGUUUAUUAGUUAAAGCAUUGCGGUAUAAGAUGGGCAUGCGUCCUAUUAGCUAGAUGGUGAGGUAACGGCUCACCAUGGCUACGAUAGGUAGGGGGCCGCAGGUGGUGGUCCCCCACACUGGUACUGAGACACGGACCAGACUCCUACGGGAGGCAGCAGUGAGGAAUAUUGGUCAAUGGGCGCAAGCCUGAACCAGCCAUGCCGCGUGCAGGAAGAAUGCCCUAUGGGUUGUAAACUGCUUUUAUUUGGGAAUAAACCUCUUUACGUGUAGAGAGCUGAAGGUACCAAAUGAAUAAGCACCGGCUAACUCCGUGCCAGCAGCCGCGGUAA
rnacentral:rRNA from 1 species